AGGAACGUGAUGGUGGCUCGUCCA
rnacentral:siRNA from 1 species